GGGCUUAUAGCUCAGUUGGUUAGAGCGCACGCCUGAUAAGCGUGAGGUCGCUAGUUCGAAUCUAGCUAGGCCCA
rfam:Marinimicrobia bacterium 46_43 MPJ_scaffold_7366, whole genome shotgun sequence.